GGCUCAAUGAUUGCAAGCCUAUUUGGCCGUAUACGCUAUUCCGAAUUUAGAUGAUAGACAUCUUUAGAUUUAUGAGAGCU